AGUGUUUUGAAUGUUGAAAGUCGGGACUACCCACCCACUCCUUCCGGGUACCACCCUAGGCUGGGCAUGGCUGAAAUGGGGCACUCACACACCGGUACCACGCACUGUGCACACCCAUGCACGGCGCCACGGCCUCUGGAGGACCGAGGCGCGGGCAGGCACUUCUCGCACAUUUGCGUGGGCUCAGUGCCCCCCUCUUUCUGCAGCCGAGGGACCAGGGUCUGCAAGCAGCCAGGGGUUUGCCCGAGGCUCACCCCAGGAAGCCAGAGUCAGGACCGCCUUUCCAGCUCCCUGCUGCAAGGAGCCAGCCAUCUCGGCGUGUCCGUGGUGGGAGGGCCUGGGCCGAGGGCUGGUUUGGGUCAGCACAGGCUGUUCAUGGUGUCUCAGAGUCGAGCAGAGCUCAGGGGCUCUCAGCAGGUGAGAAGGUCCUGGCCUGCCAGUCCCCAUCAUGGCUGCCUUGUGGCCCGGACGGGGGCCCAUAGUUCCCAGGCUCCCCUGCCCAAACCCCGCUCUCCCACACCCACAGAGCAGACUGUCAGGCCCACUUGGCUGAUUCAAGCCUCCUGGGGAGUCUGUGGGGCCAGACAGAUGUCAGCCCCCUCCCCUGUGUUGCCAUGGCCAGGGGCAGGCCCGUCUCCCAGGUCUGUGUGGAGAGGGACCCCAGGUGCUGCGCCUGGGCCCAGGACCCCUCUGCCAUCGGGGCCUUGCGUGGUCAGAGGUCCAGCUUGCGGUCCAGGCUCUGCAGACACUGCCACGGGGCUUUUGUGUCUGCACACAGGGCCUGCACCAACCGGUGCCCGAGGGUGGGGUGGGACCCCAGUGGGGAGAAAGGGGUCCCCAGGGGACGUCGAGGGGGGCGAUAAUGGAGAAAGGGGAAGAACAGAGUAGAGGCUGAGUGAAAGCUGGGCGGCGCCCUGGGUAGAAAGGAGCACAGAGUGGGGCCACCAGGAAACUGCUGGGCUGCGGCUGAGGAGACGGUGUGCGGGUGCGGCCGCCCCAGGCGUCCGACGGGGCCUGCGGGGCUCUGCCCAAGGCCAGCUGGUCCAGCUGCUUUCCUGGGCACCCACUGACAUCCCCCUAACCUGGCACGGGCGGCCUCCAGAGUCCAAAUGAAACCCAGGCCCUUAGAGAGAUGUGUCCCUCACACAGGCUGAGUCGCCAGAAUGUAUACUUGGGUCCUGACCCGCAAACCCUGACAGGCAGGAGGCCACGGGGGCGUGUUCCCCAGGAGGAGGUGGUCCCAGCGGAGGCAGGCUCCCUGGCCAGUGAUGGGGGCCAUGCACAGUGGCUGAUGAUAUGCAGGGUUUGCAGGGAGAGCCACCCCUCCUUCGUGUGACACAGCCUCAUGCAGCCCCAGGGCCACCAGCAAGGUGGGCUUGUCAUGUCUACUCUGUUCAUCCAGAAAUGGAGGCUGGGGGCAGGAGUAACCCAGCUCCGGCCUUGCCUCUGGCCCGGGAGGGUCGUUGGGUUAAUUGGAGGCUCUUCAGGGUGCCAGCUUGGGCUGGGGGCAUGUUGAAGGUUUAGGGGCACAGUGACUCGCUCCGCAGGGUUUGGUUUUGAUUGAAAUUGCUCUCCUUGAAAUCUGUGGUGCUUCCAGACUCGGCCCAGGAUGGGGGCGAUCUCGGCCGGGGCGGCUCCCUCGGCCUCCUCCCAGUCCCUGGGGCCUCACCCACACUCAGGGCAGACAGGAACCCCGUGGCCCCACUCAAGACCCAGUGCCAGCUGGUCUCUGCGGGCAUCGGCCCAUCCUCCCCGGCACUCUGGGUUCCUGUGUGGAGCGGCCGCCCUAUCCUUCAGGAGUUGGCGCGGAUGUGGGGUCAUGGGAAACUGAGGCUUAGGGCAUCGGGCCUGGCACCCCACAGCUGAGCCACACUGACAAGCCACGGCUGCCAGCUCCCAGGCUGACCGGUGUCUGGCGCCCACAGCCAAGGAGGGGCAGGAAUUUGUUCUAAUACCAAAUAUCCAGAUACCCUCUGUUUACCCAGACAGAAAAAAAGUUAAGGCCUUAAAAAUACCUUGUUUUGGAUCUUUUGGUCCCAGUGAAAAUAUUGACAAACUACGGAACCAUGGGCUUCGUCCAGCGCUUAGCUGUUGGCUCUGAGCAGCUCUCUGAGUGGGACAGAUUAACCCUGAACCAUGAGGAGGGAUGUGACAAGCAAACCCUUUGAGGAUAGGGUGCAAGGACGGCCUACCCUGCAAGCGUCACCUGAAGGAAGUGACUUUUCAAUUCAGUUCACUUUCGUUGAACACUUCCUGUUACUGUGCCAGGCCCUGAGCCGGACGCCAUCACUCAUCGUGACAGCCCUGCUGGGUGGGUGUCUUUCAGUGCCUCUCCCCUGCAGAGGCUGAGGCUCAGGGAGGCCAAGGGGUCAGCCUCAGGCCACCAAGCUGGCCAGCAGUAGAGCAAGGGCCUGGCCCCAACCUGCCAGAAAGGAGUGUGGGGUCUCCCCAGGGUGCCAGGUCUCCCCGAGACAGGUGGGAGCGGGGUCUGUGAAGGGGGGGGGGACAGGGCCUUCAGCUCAGGCCUUCUUUAGAAGGGUGCCCUGGGGCUUCUGCCUCUGCUGCCCGGGGUGUCCUGUCCUGGGCUCAGCCGGACACUUGGCCUCCGACAUUUCCCUGGUUGGAGGUCUUGUUUCCCAGUUAUUCCUGAGCCGAAAGCUCAGCCGUGUCCAACUCUAGGCAGAGAGAGAGCAGGUUCGCACCCUGUCCAGUGGCCUGACACCCCUGCUCCAUCAGGCUCAGGUCUGAACUGCCCUGCUCCAAGAACACCGUGCCCACCCAGCCUGGCCAGCCCUGGGGGAUUGGGGAGCCCGAAGGCCUUGGCGACUCAUUGAGGAAGGAAAAGGGAAGGUCUCAGAUGUGGGGCUUGCUGGGGUCUCCCGGUAUAGAGGGGUCUGGCCCUUCCUAGUGGCUGCGUGACAUCGUGGAUAAACCGAGACAUCUCUGGGUGUCUGUUCCCUUAUCCCCAAAACACUAGGGAGAGGGAUGAUGCCUACCCUGGCUGUGUAACUGUAGGGAAGUAACUUACCCUCUCUGUGCUUGUUCCUUCCCUGGAGAUCAGGUUUGAAUGGGGACUGACUGAGCCACCCGGCAGUCAAGGUGUCUGCACACGCCGUUUCUGAUGAGGACUGUGUGCCUAGGAUGUGGUACGCGUGCUUACAGCAAUAUUGAGCAAACGGGGAUUUGAACCCAGGGCCCUGCAGCUGUGAGGCGUGCUCCUCCCCAGUGGGCCCCCUGUGGGAGACUCCCAAGGAGAGGCUGCUCCCGGGAGGGGUCCUUGGUGAGGACUGCUGUUUGUUCACGCCUGGGGAAUUGUCAGGACAACUGUGGUUACACAAGUGACGGGGACAGUGGCACCUGCUCUCCAUGCCGUGCUGUCUCCAGGGAAGCUCCCACCUGCAGAAAAGGCCGGAGGCCUCUCUCCUAAUUCCAUUCUUGGUUCAUGACACAGGCUCUGGAUGGCCUGUCCCCACCAGAGCGCGAGGCCCAGGUGGUACCCCAGGUGACCCAGUGCCCUUCAGGGCUCCUGCUGCCUUCGCAGCCAGGGCUGGUGCACGGUGACCGCUGGGCCUCAGCCGACCUGUCUGUGAGGUGGGAUGGGGCUCGGCACCGGGUUGGAAAUGGUGGCUGGCGACCCUCAGCCCCCAGAAUGAGAUUUAGUAAAGACGUGUGGAAGUGGCGGGCAGGGCACAGUUAGGAAGACCCAGGCACUCACUGUGUGCCCGCUGUCUGCCAGGCUCUGCUCUGCAGAGGCUUCCGGUCCAGCGGGUGUUUGCUGGGGCAGCAGGGCCUGUGCCUCUUGUCCAGAGGCGGCAGGAGAGGCCUCCCCAGAGAGGGACAGGAGGAGGGGCGGAUGGUCACCAAAUAGGGUAGGAGCCACGCGCUUCAAGAGCCGGCCGGUGUUGGUGUGGCCAGCCUGUGGGGCCGGAGCUACAGGAGGUCGAGGGGCGUGUGGCAGAGCCUCCUGCAGCAGGUCCUCCUGGUGCCCGCUGGCAUUGGGCAGGAAGGAGCUACCUGGACCACGGGGGUGGCGUGUGCUGGGCCAUCCCGAGAGUGCAAGUCAGCCUCUCAGGCCGCCUGGCUGGAGGCUGCUCCACCCUCAGGCCAACGAGGACGACCUUCUGCGGGUCUGGGGCAAAGUGGGGGCUUCCGUCCAGAAGGGGCCGAGGCCCCUGCUGUCCCCCCCGCCCGGCAGUCACUGCCCUGUAAGGUGGGAAACUGGGAAAGCGGCGGGGCCACUGCCCUGGGCAGCGCUGGUCCCAGCACCACCCAGAGCCCCUCGAGGAGGGUGCCCGGGCCUUUGGCACCCCAGGGCGGCCGGGAGCUUGGGCAGGAGGGAGGUUCCGGAAAGGGCCCUGCCUGCCCCUGUCCCCCUGGCCAGGCCCCCAGGCCUCAGCGCAGGCAGGAGUCCGCUUCCGGACUGGACGUUGCUGCCGCUCCGGGGCGCAUCCCCCUCGGGCUGCCGGCUUCCUUUGUCCGCCGAGGCCUCCACAAAAUGGCCGCCACAGCCCUCCGCCAUUUUGUGCCAGCGGCGGGCAGGAGGGAGGCCGGAGGGGGAGGCCGCAGGGAGACCACUGCACCCGCCUGCCCUGGGGGCCUGGCCGGAGCCCAGCGCCGCCCCGCCCGCGCCCGGCCUUGGCCAGGCCGCCCUGGACUUGGCACCGGCCGACAUCCUGGCAGGACGGUCGGGAGCGCCGGCCCCUCACUCAGCGCCGCCCGGCCUCGCGCCAAGCGGACGGAGAUGCUGCAGACCAGAGCCCGGAGGAGCUGUAAUUAAAGCCAUGCUCCUUGGCAGCCUCGGGCCGGUGCGGACAGCUCUCGCAGUGACGCCAGCCCGAGUGGGGGUGGCCCGCUGGACACUGUGCACAGGGCCGGGCCUGUCUCCGGCCGCCCUGGGGACGACACAGCACCCUCCGCCCUCCACCGGGCCCCUCGCCUGCCCUGGACCUGGCUGGGGAGCCUCGGGCUUCUGGUGUGGACGUGGGUACCAUGUGUCCUCAGGAAGCGGGCAGGGGCUUCCUGGAGGAGGCAGGUGCCACCGUCUGGCAGAGCUGCCCCUGGGCCAGCUGAGGUCCUGCUCCUGAUGCGUGCCCAGCGGGAGCCAGCUUGCUUCGGUGGCAGCCUCAGCGGCCAAGGUUGCACCUGGACGUCUGCGAUGUCUUGGCAGCCAGGGGCUGGAGAGUGGUGCUGAGUCGACGACACUGUGCCAUGCACUGCAGGACAGUGACCUCCACCAGCCUCAGUUGGGUAGAUGGGUGUGGCAUGCCCACCUACAGCACCCCGCUGGGAGGUCCUCAAAGGGCAGCUCCUGGAAAAAGUUCACAGCAACCUCCACGUGGGGAAGUAGUGGCUGGCGCUGGACAGAAGCGGGUGCAUUUGAAAGGACUGACACCAUGUUCCUGGCAGCGUGGGGUGGCGCCUGGCUGACGGGGGCAGCUGCACCCUGCUCUCUCUCUGCCCGGGAGAGGCUGUGGGUAGAAAGCACGCGGAUGGCAGGGCGCACAGUAGGGCUGCAGAGCCAGGCUGCCUUUCGCAGGCACCUGUGGCCCAGCCAAGCCCUCCAGACUGGGAAGGUGCCGGUGGUGGCCCCAGCCCCCCCCCCUUUUGUGGUUCUCGGAGAGCACAUUCCGUGGCCAUGAAGUGAGGUUUGCUCACGCUCUCCCCACCCCCAAAGACUGUGGGACGCACAGUCCAGCACCCGGUGUCUCACAUGCCAGGCCAAGCCCAGAGCCUCCUGGGCACAAGGAGCACCCGGCUUUCAUGGCAGAAAUGUGCAUCCCCAGAGGGAGCUGUGUUCAGGUCGGCUGUGACGAUGGAGUUUCACGCAGCAUUUUUAAUGAUGAUGUCCCCCCACCCCCCGCCAAACCCUUGCCUUGUGACCGAGACUGCGGCUUGAAUCGAGAAUAUUUUCAGAUAAAUACACGCCUUUGAGGUUAAAACUAUUGCUUAAUGGUUAAACGCCAGCCGGAGCCGCCCACAGGAUUAGAGAGGGCUCUGCGUUCUUGCCUUUCCCUUUGGACGCCAAGCAAACCACGAACUUAGCCCUGGGGUGUGAAGAAAGCUUCCUCUGCUGGUGCUCCUCCCCGGGCACAGACGGCACCCUCAGGUCCUCCCUGACAGCCCAGGCCCCACUUUGCAGAGUAGGCAGCUGAGGCCAAGGGUCUGAAUAACUUGCCCAAGGCCCAUUGCUGGUUGGCCAGAGCAGAGGUCAGAACCAUGGCCUGGCAGUCCCCAGAGCCAGCCACCCCCCUCUCCCCGUGUCCGUGUCCCCCACGGACACAGGUGUGUCUUCAGGCCUGGGCUGCUAGGGCCCCCAGCUCCUCUCAGAUGCUACCCUUGUGAACUUCCAAACUCGCGCCCCUGAGGGCAGUGACGCCGGCGUCCACUGUGUACCUGGCCCUGCUCUGGCAAAGGGGCGCCUGCCCCGGGGAGCAGACAUGCCCCCACACCUGCCACCUUCCACCCAAGAGCUUGGAGGUCUCUGAGAUGGGAAAGCAGGGAGCCAGGGUGAAGCAUAGACUCCCGACGUUGGGAGACCCCGACUCGGAGCACGUGGGCGUCUGUCUCCAGGGAGCUGCCAACAAGAGGUCACCUUGGGGCCCUGAGAAGGAAGGAGGGCCUGGGUCUGUCCCUAACCCACAGGGCUGGGCCCCGGGCAGGGGUUAGGGGCUCCUGUCGGAACGCACUAACUGCUUCCCUGCCGUCGUGGCCUGGAGGUGUGCAGGGCCCCGCGAAGAACCUGGCAUCAGAGAAAUCCAGGUUCUGGUUCUGGCUUUGCCCCUGUGCCCUCAAGUCGUGGUCUUGGGGGCGGUGAGGCCGCUGGGUCCUGCACUCUGCCGCCUGUUGGAUCCUGAGGUGACAGGAAAAGUAAGUAGCCCUGAUCCGUCCUGUCUUGAAGUUUGAUGUUUUUAUAUCAUUCGCAUUAAUUUAUUUUUUUAAUCUCACACACUAAAUUACUUGUCUCAAUGCUGAGUUUUGGCACCCCAUAAAUUGGGUGCCUGUCUGGCCUCCCUGCGUACUGGCCCUGCCCUGCGUGCACUGGGAGCACCGCCCUGUCCUGGCCCGUCGAUCACACGCUGUCCAGUGUGCACAUCUUGUUAACUUCGCAGCCGUGUUUGUGGGGAGACCCGCCCCCCGGAUGCCAACCCCCACGUUUUUCCCAGACUCCAUUGUUGGCACGGCUUGCUGAGCAGAAACACUGGCUGCUUUAUGGGGAGAAACCUAAUCGGGGCAAUGGGGGGGGCAGCUGUGGGGGGGCUCCAGCUCCAGGUGGCCCCAAGCCAAGCCCGAGGUGACUUCGGGGUGACACCGUCUGCCUGCUUCGUUCGCUCCAGACAUCCGCCUGGCUCUGAAAGGGCCACCUGCCCAUCAAGGCCUCCUUCCCGUACACCUGUCCCCUCGGGACUGGCUCCUCCCACCCUGGCCUGCCCAGUGCCCUGUGGGCAGACACUGCGGGACCAGGGCAGGACCGGCAGUGGCAGCUGGCAGAUGGCAGGGCGACUGCUGACUGCUCACUCCUGGCAGCACUGCUGGGGGCCCGUCAUGUUGCAUGCCUGACCCUGCCACCAGCUCGCCUCCAGGCUGGCUGGGCGGUCCCUUUUAUCUGUCUCAGGACCCCUGCCAUCCCCCCAGAAAAGGGGAGGUCUCUGCUGCCCUCCCCGAGGCCUGAGGCCCUUGGUCACUCCUAGGACUAUAGGGCAGGUGGGCCCAGCAGGUCGUCCCCCUGACACAGAAUUGGGGCCUUUUCCCCCAUGAACUAGUCACAGACACAGAAAUGUCAAUCCUACUCCCCCCACCCCAAACCCCAGGUUUUUGGCUAAAGAGAGUGCUGCGUUCUGUGCAAGCCCUCCCUUGGUGGGAGCGAAGCCCGAGUAGGGGUCCUGCUGGGGGUCACGGUAUCUGCUUCCUGGUUACCUGGGGAGACCGGAAGUGGGCUGUGAGUGGGCAGGGGCCGCCCCAGGUCCUCCGUGGAGAGAGGACUGCCACCACUGUCACGGGCGCCGCUCGUACCAGCCACACCACUUGCUACCGGCCUGGGAGUUCCAGGCUGAUCCCCAAGCUGGGCAGAGCUGGGAUUCGCCUUGGGGCCCCCAAGGCCCCUGGUGGGCAGCAGAGAGGGACACCUGUGGGGGUGGAACUCUCGUGGGUGAAGAACAGGAACCUGUGGGCAGGUGCUCCCGACAGGACAGGCAGGGCAGAGGCCUGGAGGCGGGCAGGGCUGGCACACCCGGUGAGGCCGAGGACUGUCAGGGAAGCUGCCUGGGGUGUUUUCCGCUCUGGGAGGCUGAAGUGGGGAGCCAGGGCCAGGUGGGGGCGCAGUGGUUGGCGCCAGUCAGGACUGGACAGACCCAAGUGGUCUGGCUCCCAAUUCUAUCGUCUGGGACCCAGCCUCAGGGGCCCUCCAGCUGGUCAGCACUCUGGCUCUGUCCUUGUCUCACACCGAUGUCCCUUCCCUCGGGGACUGGCCUUGCUGGCUUCCCCUCGUGUCAUCCCAGGAGAAAUGGGCCGGAACUGAUGGGACUGCAGUCGAUGGACCAAGCUCGACUGAGGCCGUGGCCGGUCCCAGAGCCCCUUCCCUGGGUUUCUGUCCUUGGGAGGACCCGGGCCUCAGUCACCAUGGGACCAGGACGCUCAGCCUCUCUGGAGCUCUCUCUGUGAAGUGGGGUUUCAGCUCCUCCCCUCAGGUCACUCUCACUGCCAGGCGUACAGGAGGGCAGCGCCUGGAUUCUCCGGGCCCCAGAGCGUCGGCACAAGCCCGGCGUGGCGCUGGCACCAGCAUGGAAAUGUUGGCGGCCCUGCCCAUUCAAGGACCAGGCCUGGGUCUUGGUCAUCUCUGACUUGGCAUCGUCCAGCGCAGGGUGGCCACAGAGGCCGUUCCCUAGGCCCUUGGAUGGGGUGUGUGCCCAGACGCCAGGCCUUGGUAAGACAGGCUGGGCUGAAAUGCAGGACCCGUGGGAGGUGGCAGGGCAGGUACAGGGAGGAAGCACAGAGCAGAGCGCUCGCGUGGCUGGUCUCUUGCAAGCCUGAUGUUUUUCACUUUUUUCUGAAACCCAAACAGGUCGGGAAGCAGCGCUAAGAUGGAAGUUCCUGUCCAAGGCUGGCCCUCGUCACGGUGAGCUGGGCACCUCACCACCUGCCACACUUCCCAGCCCAGCCUGAGCCCACAGGAGUCCAUGGCCUCAGUCACCCUGCAGGAGACAGGCUGGCUGGUCUCCUAUCCCUGGUCCCAUUGUGGGGGCACACCCACUCCUGCUGAAUGCCCAGCUGACUCACAGGAUGGCAUGGGUGACAGCUGGCACCACUGCUCACCCCUCCUACCAGCCUUGCUCUGGGAAGUGGGGAGCCAUGGAAGACCUUCUGCCUUAUGAUGGGGGGAGGCGGGGGAGGUGGUCAGAGCUGUGUCGCUUCCGCUCCAGGCCCAGCCGUCAGGCAUGGACGUCCAUAGAUGGGACCUGAUGGCCCCACUUCCAAACCUUGGCCCGAGCUGUGUCCUCCAGCUGAAGCUGUGUCUCUCCUGGUCCUCCUGCCUCUCUCUAGCACCUGUCCCCAGCUGACACAGCUCAUUUACGCACGGUGCACCUGUGACGUAACCUUCGACCUGCUGGUCCCUGAAGGUUCCUUACAGAGUGGGAGCGCUCGGCCCCUCCUCCUCCAUCCUGGCGCUCAGGCAGGUGUGCCUGAGGGAGCCCUCGCGUGCCUCUGUGAUACACGCAGGCCGCCUGCCACCGACCCGAGAUGCCACACGGGAAGAAAGUGGAAUGUUCUAACCUCUGCUCGGCCACCCAUCAGCUGUGUGACCCUGUGAAGGUUGUGCUACCCUUGGGCAUUAGCCUCCUCGUCUUGAAGGUAGGUUGGCAGUGGUCCUCGCCUCCCUAGCUUUUCCCCAGGCUUCUCCAGGAAGGUGGUGGCCAUGGUGGUAGCAGUGCCCUCGGAGGUGUGAGCCUGCCUCAGGGACGGGCACUGCGCUCUGUGUCCCUCGAGGGUCUGUAGUUCUGGCCCAGCUGCCCCUGGGGAGCCAGGUUCCCUUUGGGAAGGAAAACAAUAUCCUGGGGCCUUUCCCAAAGUAGGGACAGCUAGGUCACCCUGGAUGGCGGGCUCAGACCAACCAGAGCUCGUGGGGUGGGAGGCCUGCCUGUCCCGUGGGUGGAGGGACCAGGCCUGAGGCCACAGGUACGUUGGGGCAGCAGGGCGCCGGGUGGGCUGUGCUGCCAGAUGGUGCAGGCGGCCAGGUGCACACUCACCGUGCCUUUGUGAUACAUUGGCCUCCAGCGAGGGACAGCCUUCCUCCCAGUGUCACCAGUGCAGAAGUCCCAUGGGGCAAUUAUGGCCACUCCUGUCCAGAUGGGAGUGGUCCAGUCGCCUGAAUCAGUGUCCCAAAAGCCACACUGCACGUUGUCUCCUGUCUCCCCUCCCUUCUGCCCGCCUCCCUUUUUCCCUCUGGUUGGUGGUUUUCUCCUGGGGCCUCCUCUACUGUGGGGCCAGAAUCCAGGUGCCCUCAGCACCCGUGUGCCUGGCCCCCAGCCCACGCCCCAUAGCUCUCCUCCUCCCCCUCCAGGAGGUGCCUCCGAGGCUGCGAGUGCAUCUUGGUGCCAAGACUGACGGCCCUUUGGGGUGAGGUAGUAGGUUGUAUAGUUUGGGGCUCUGCCCUGCUAUGGGAUAACUAUACAAUCUACUGUCUUUCCUGAAGUGGCUGUAAUAGCGACGGUGGACAGCAUCCAGGACCCUGGCUGGGGAGGGGCACGGGGUGGGGCACAGUGGCUGCCAUGUGGUAAGUCUGAAAGGCCUAGGUUCCACUUGCUGUGUCACCUGGGGCAGGUCCCCGGACCUCUCUGGGACUCAGUUUCCUCACCUAUAAAAUGGGGGCAAAUGAGGAUUAAAGGCGAUACUGGGCAAGUGUCCAGAGCAGGCUAAGGCUCAGAGUUCACCUUCCUUCUCCCGACCCUGCACUGAGAGCCGGUGAACCCACGGGACAGUUUGUGCAGCCUGUCCCCGCUCCCUGCCCCACGUCAGGCCCAGGGCGGCCCCAAGUCUAGUAUGCCCUGAUUUGCACCACUGUGGCCAGCACUGGGCACCAGGAGGAGGAAGGGGGCAGCAGAGACUUGGCUGGGGUUGCAGGGCAGCACCCCAGGGAGACCCAGGGGGCCUGCCUUGGUCAGCACACCCCCCGACGUCUGCCCCAGCCUGCCCAGCCCAGCAUCAGGCCUCCGGUCAGUGGCGGCACCUCUGCCCGCCCAGGACAGAGGGAAGUCAAGGCUCCCUUCCUGGUUGCUGGCCUUUCCCAAACAGGAUGAGAGGGGCAUCUUCUGAGCACACCACGGUCCUCGGGCACAAGCUCGCCUCUCCCCUGCCCCCGCCCCCCGGCCAGCGGCCGGUAGAUGGUGUGGGCUGCACUGUCCAUGGGGAAACCGAGGCUCUGCCUGCACGUCCGUCCUGCCCUGCGCCUGCCCAGCCCCCCUGCGCAGUUCUGGCGGCCAUGGCCCACUGGGCAGGGGCCGGGGCUGGCGUGGGGCAGCGGCGUGGACGGCAGGCCCUUCCACACCCGGGGCGCCGACGGGGUGAGGUAGUAGGUUGUGUGGUUUCAGGGCAGUGAUGUCGCCCCCUCAGAAGAUAACUAUACAACCUACUGCCUUCCCUGAGGAGCCCAGCGACACGUCCCCACAGGAGGGCCUGACCCACGCUCGCAGAUGGGGGGCUGCAGCGCGUACUCGAUCUCAAUAAAAGCUGUUCUGACG